rnacentral:sRNA from 1 species
AAUAUUAUAAAGGCAAAUAGAAAGCUCACAAUUAUUGGACGUUUAAAAAUAUUAGUUGUGCUAACUUUGGUUUUAGCAAAGACCUACAUUCCAAUUAUUGAGCAAUUUAAAUUGAUGACUAAGCAAACUUGCAGAUGGGCCUUUGGGUCCCCGAGGAUUAGCUGAAGCUACAGAGAUGUGCACUCAAGAGUGCUUGGUUUUGGGUCACUCUGAUAAUUGCUGGAUGCCUCCUGGCUUGGGUCCAUAUCCACACCCCAAAUCUCCUCUCUCAACCUUUGCACCCCAGAAAGAAUGGGUGAAGAAGGACAAGCUUGUGAAUGGGCACACCCUGACCAGAGCCUGGAAAGAAGACAGCAACAGGAACCAGUUCAAUGACCGUAAGCAGUAUGGCUCCAAUGAAGGCCAUUUCAACAAUGGCAGCCACAUGACAGACAUUCCUCUGGCAAAUCUGAAGUCUUAUAAGCAAGCAGGAGGUGCAACUGAGAGUCCUAAGGAGCACCAACUCUAAGAAAAGGCUACAUGGGACCUAAUAACUUUAAAUAGACAUGCUAAUACCGUG